GACGCGUCCGGCUGGGGCGGGAGCUGCCGGCCUGUAGCGAGCCUGCACCGGGCCAGGACCCCGAACCCCGGACCCCGGACCCCGGGGCUGACUGGCCCGCUGGUAAUUGAUCGAAAUCUUCAGAAAAUUGAAAGACCUUGUGUUUUUCAAUCAAAGUCUUGAAGCCUCCCUGGCCAACAAAGAACAUUAAACACAG
rnacentral:lncRNA from 1 species